GGUAAUGUCAUGAACUGGUGGGAAAUUCCUUGAUUAUGUGUUAUCACCUAGGGAUAGGGAUAGGAUGGUCAAUUGCAUUUGCUUCAGCACGCAUUGCAUUAUUAGUUACUAGGGGAGGCUAGGGAUAGCAAGCCAGUAAUUAGUAAUAGGCUCUUUUCACCAAGGAAUUGGGCUAAGGGUAAUUCAGAAAGUUUGCAUGACAAUUAGAUAAACAAGUGAAUUAAAUAAGAAGAGUAGAUAUAUGAGAGUGGAUAAGAUGAAAUUGUAAACCCCAACAACAUCAUUCAUCCAUAGUUCUCAAAACCAAUU
rnacentral:lncRNA from 1 species